GAGGAGAGAGUUGCACAUCAGAAAGGGAGAGAAGCACAAAUAUUCUUUAUCUCUCUCAAUAUUCUGUUCUACAACCACCAUACAUCUCCCUUCUCCCACCGCCUAACAUCUCAUAACCUCACUUCUCCAGUUUCCAAACUCCCUCGGUCUCAGCUUCCCAGCUCUGUGAAUCUAUGGUCCGCAACUCUUGUAACCACACCUUUCUUCCUCUUCUUUUCCGCGAGCGAGUCACAAACCCAGCAAUAUCACUGGUUUUCCCUUCAACUUCCUCGCGACCAAACUCCAAGUCCCUCUGUAUUUAUAACCUGCAUGCAGUUCACAUACUCCCAUCACCAUCAUACAACAACCUUCCACUCUCCAACAAUAACAACUAAUCUCACCAUCAUCAAGCACAACACAACUCUCACUUGUUCGAUAAUUCUUUGGUUCUAUUUUUUGUUGUUUCAACUACGCUGCUAUGAGUAA